rnacentral:rRNA from 1 species
GAUGAACGCUGGCGGCGUGCCUAACACAUGCAAGUCGAACGCUCGCAAGAGAGUGGCGCACGGGUGAGUAACACGUAGCUAAUCUGCCCUCAAGACAAGGAUAACUGUAGGAAACUACUGCUAAUACUUGAUAAGCUUACGGACUGUAGAGGUCUAUAAGAAAGAUUUAUCGCUUGAGGAUGAGGCUGCGCGCCAUCAGCUAGUUGGUAAGGUAAUGGCUUACCAAGGCGACGACGGCUAGGGGACCUGAGAGGGUGACCCCCCACACUGGGACGUGAGACACGGCCCAGACUCCUACGGGAGGCAGCAGUGAGGAAUAUUGCUCAAUGGGCGCAAGCCUGAAGCAGCGACGCCGCGUGGAUGAAGAAGGUUUUCGGACUGUAAAAUCCUUUCUGUGUGACGAGAGUGGACGGUAGCACAGGAAUAAGUCUCGGCUAACUACGUGCCAGCAGCCGCGGUAAU